rnacentral:rRNA from 1 species
UACGUAGGGCGCAAGCGUUGUCCGGAAUUAUUGGGCGUAAAGAGCUCGUAGGCGGUUUGUCGCGUCUCUGUGAAAACCUAAGGCUCAACCUUGGGCUUGCAGUGGGUACGGGCAGACUAGAGUGCGGUAGGGGUGACUGGAAUUCCUGGUGUAGCGGUGGAAUGCGCAGAUAUCAGGAGGAACACCGAUGGCGAAGGCAGGUCAUUGGGCCGCAACUGACGCUGAGGAGCGAAAGCGUGGGGAGCGAACAGG